AUUCUGAUCACUUUUCUGUCUUUGGUCUAGGCAAGAGGAAAAGGGGCAACAGAAAAUUGGACCUUCCAAGUGUACUUGUGGAGAUGCGGGCUGAGAAGGAGCGGAACCGGCACCCAGCAUGAUGAGAACAUCUGGUUGCUCCUCAGCGAGGCAAGAGAGAAUGAAGCGGCCUUGCAGCGGGAGGAGAUGGUCCAGAAUGCUGCCUUCAACCAGUCAUUCCUGGGUGUACUGGGGCAGCUGGUGCAGGCAGUGCUGGGUGUACUGGGGCAGCUGGUGCAGGCAGUGCUGGGUGUACUGGGGCAGCUGGUGCAGGCAGUGGGCAGCCAGUGAGUCCACCUCCCAGAGACUUGAGAUUUAGUUGUAUAUAGUUUUACUUUUAGCCCUCCACUGUAGGAGAGGCCCACCACAGUUUGUACUUUGC
ensembl:lncRNA